rnacentral:sRNA from 1 species
UUUUGUUUUAGACAGGUUCUCGGUCUGUCACCCAUGCUGGAUGCAGUGAUGUGAUCAUGGCUUACUGCAGCCUCAACCUCCAGGGCUCAGAAGAUCCUCCCACCUCA